AAAGAAUUAGUUAAAAAAUAACAUAAAUAUGUCAAAUUUAAAUCAUUAUUAUAAAUAUAAUAUUCUUUU
rnacentral:tRNA from 6 species